UUUCGAAUGAUCGACAUAACUC
rnacentral:miRNA from 1 species